UGAGAAUAAUACUCCAUAGGUCUAGGAUGCUGGAAUGCACUUAGUCUGAAAACUCCGGUGCCUAAGGAUGAAUCUGCGGACUAUCAGGUUGUAGUCAGGGUAAUGACCUGACUAGCCUAUGACGGAUAUGGGUUGUGGGAGCAAUAACCCAGAGAUGAUAUCUGAGACACGAUAUCAGGCCCUACGGGGCGCAGCAGGCGCGAAAACUUCGCAAUGUGCGAAAGCACGACGAGGGAAUCCCAAGUGCUUGCACGUAAGUGUAAGCUGUUUCUCUGUUUAAAACGCAGAGAGAGUAAGGGCUGGGUAAGACGGGUGCCAGCCGCCGCGGUAAUACCUGCAGCUCAAGUGGUGGCCGUUAUUAUUGGGCCUAAAACGUCCGUAGCCGGUUUAUUAAAUGCCUGGGUAAAUCGGACCGCUUAACGGUUCGAAUUCCGGGUAGACUGAUAAACUUGAGACCGGGAGAAGUUAGAGGUACUCCUGGGGUAGAGGUGAAAUUCUGUAAUCCUAGGGGGACCACCAGUGGCGAAAGCGUCUAACUAGAACGGGUCUGACGGUGAGGGACGAAGCCCUGGGGCGCAAACGGGAUUAGAUACCCCGGUAGUCCAGGGUGUAAACGCUGCUUGCUUGAUGUUAGUCGGGCUCCGAGCCCGAUUAGUGUCGGAGAGAAGUU
rnacentral:rRNA from 1 species